rnacentral:rRNA from 1 species
UACGUAGGCAGCGAGCGUUGUUCGGAGUUACUGGGCGUAAAGGGUGUGUAGGCGGUUGUUUAAGUUUGGUGUGAAAUCUCCUGGCUUAACCGGGAGGGUGCGCCGAAUACUGAAUGACUAGAGUGCGGGAGAGGUGAGUGGAAUUCCUGGUGUAGCGGUGAAAUGCGUAGAUAUCAAGAGGAACACCGGUGGUGUAGACGGCUCACUGGACCGUAACUGACGCUGAGACACGAAAGCGUGGGUAGCAAACAGG